rnacentral:rRNA from 1 species
CACAUGCAAGUCGAGCGGCCGUAGCACUACGUCAGCGGCAGACGGGUGAGUAACGCGUGGGAACAUACCUCUUGGUUCGGAACAACACAGGGAAACUUGUGCUAAUACCGGAUAAGCCCUUACGGGGAAAGAUUUAUCGCCGAGAGAUUGGCCCGCGUCUGAUUAGCUAGUUGGUAGGGUAAUGGCCUACCAAGGCGACGAUCAGUAGCUGGUCUGAGAGGAUGAUCAGCCACAUUGGGACUGAGACACGGCCCAAACUCCUACGGGAGGCAGCAGUGGGGAAUAUUGGACAAUGGGGGCAACCCUGAUCCAGCCAUGCCGCGUGAGUGAUGAAGGCCCUAGGGUUGUAAAGCUCUUUUGUGCGGGAAGAUAAUGACGGUACCGCAAGAAUAAGCCCCGGCUAACUUCGUGCCAGCAGCCGCGGUAAUACGAAGGGGGCUAGCGUUGCUCGGAAUCACUGGGCGUAAAGGGUGCGUAGGCGGGUUUUUAAGUCAGGGGUGAAAUCCUGGAGCUCAACUCCAGAACUGCCUUUGAUACUGAAGAUCUUGAGUCCGGGAGAGGUGAGUGGAACUGCGAGUGUAGAGGUGAAAUUCGUAGAUAUUCGCAAGAACACCAGUGGCGAAGGCGGCUCACUGGCCCGGUACUGACGCUGAGGCACGAAAGCGUGGGGAGCAAACAGGAUU